rnacentral:rRNA from 1 species
UGGAUUAUCUACCUCUUUGUGGGGGAUAACCCUGGGAAACCGGGGCUAAUACCGCAUAAGUCCGAGAGGAGAAAGCAGCAAUGCGCAGAGAGAGGAGUCCGCGGCCGAUUACGUUAGUUGGCAGGGUAAAAGCCUACCAAGACAAAGAUCGGUAGCCGGCCUGAGAGGGCACACGGCCACACUGGCACUGAAACACGGGCCAGACUCCUACGGGAGGCAA